rnacentral:rRNA from 1 species
CCUACGGGGUGCAGCAGUAGGGCAUAUUGCUCAAUGGGGGAAACCCUGAAGCAGCAACGCCGCGUGGAGGAUGACGGUUUUCGGAUUGUAAACUCCUUUUUUUAGAGAAGAUAAUGACGGGACCUAACGAAUACGCACCGUCUAAAUCCGUGCCAGCAGCCGAGGUAAUAUGGACGGUGGAAACGUUACUCGGAAUCUCUGGGCGUAAAGCGCGUGUAAGCGGGAUCGCAAGUUAGUUGUGAAAUCCUAUGGGUUAAACAUAGAGCUGCCUGUGAAACUGGUAUUCUAGAGUAUGAGAGAGGUAGGUGGAAUUCUUGGUGUAGGGGUGAAAUGCGUAGAGAUCGAGAAGAAUACUGAUUGCGAAGGCAGCCUGCUAGAGCAUAACUGACGCUGAUGCGCGAAAGCGUGGGGAUCGAACAGGAUUAGAUACCCGGGUAGGC